rnacentral:rRNA from 1 species
UACGGAGGAUGCGAGCGUUAUCCGGAUUUAUUGGGUUUAAAGGGUGCGCAGGCGGUACGGCAGGCCGGCGGUCAAAUCGCGGGGCUCAACCCCGCCCAGCCGUCGGAACUGCCGGGCUAGAGUGGGCGAGAAGUGCGCGGAAUGCGUGGUGUAGCGGUGAAAUGCAUAGAUAUCACGCAGAACUCCGAUUGCGAAGGCAGCGCACCGGCGCCCUACUGACGCUCAGGCACGAAAGCGUGGGUAUCGAACAGG